rnacentral:tRNA from 1 species
GGGCCCGUAGAUCAAUGGUAGAUCGUCCCUUUGGCGUGGGGAAGGCUGCGGGUUCGAAUCCCGCCGGGUCCA